rnacentral:lncRNA from 1 species
AAACCCAAACAAGUACAAAGUUGAAGAGCAUUUGAGGAUUCAAAAAUUCCAAAAAGUUGUGCCAAAUACGGCUAAGGUAAUCUAUGCCUGGGAUAAGAAAAUCCUUAGUUUUUCAAAAAGUUCAAAGUUUUGUAUACAGGAAAUUUAUAAAAAUGACCACAUUAUUGAUAUUCAUGUCAACACCGAAGUGUUGACUACUGGGCUGGUGAUACCCUCGGGGACGAAACGUCCACCAGCAGUGGCAUCGACCCAGUGGUGUAAA